UAUGGAGAGUUUGAUCCUGGCUCAGAGUGAACGCUGGCGGCGUGCCUAAUACAUGCAAGUCGAACGAUGAAGCUUCUAGCUUGCUAGAAUGCUGAUUAGUGGCGCACGGGUGAGUAACGCAUAGGUCAUGUGCCUUUUAGUUUGGGAUAGCCAUUGGAAACGAUGAUUAAUACCAGAUACUCCCUACGGGGGAAAGAUUUAUCGCUAAGAGAUCAGCCUAUGUCCUAUCAGCUUGUUGGUAAGGUAAUGGCUUACCAAGGCUAUGACGGGUAUCCGGCCUGAGAGGGUGAACGGACACACUGGAACUGAGACACGGUCCAGACUCCUACGGGAGGCAGCAGUAGGGAAUAUUGCUCAAUGGGGGAAACCCUGAAGCAGCAACGCCGCGUGGAGGAUGAAGGUUUUAGGAUUGUAAACUCCUUUUGUUAGAGAAGAUAAUGACGGUAUCUAACGAAUAAGCACCGGCUAACUCCGUGCCAGCAGCCGCGGUAAUACGGAGGGUGCAAGCGUUACUCGGAAUCACUGGGCGUAAAGAGCGCGUAGGCGGGAUAGUCAGUCAGGUGUGAAAUCCUAUGGCUUAACCAUAGAACUGCAUUUGAAACUACUAUUCUAGAGUGUGGGAGAGGUAGGUGGAAUUCUUGGUGUAGGGGUAAAAUCCGUAGAGAUCAAGAGGAAUACUCAUUGCGAAGGCGACCUGCUGGAACAUUACUGACGCUGAUUGCGCGAAAGCGUGGGGAGCAAACAGGAUUAGAUACCCUGGUAGUCCACGCCCUAAACGAUGGAUGCUAGUUGUUGGAGGGCUUAGUCUCUCCAGUAAUGCAGCUAACGCAUUAAGCAUCCCGCCUGGGGAGUACGGUCGCAAGAUUAAAACUCAAAGGAAUAGACGGGGACCCGCACAAGCGGUGGAGCAUGUGGUUUAAUUCGAAGAUACACGAAGAACCUUACCUAGGCUUGACAUUGAGAGAAUCCGCUAGAAAUAGUGGAGUGUCUGGCUUGCCAGACCUUGAAAACAGGUGCUGCACGGCUGUCGUCAGCUCGUGUCGUGAGAUGUUGGGUUAAGUCCCGCAACGAGCGCAACCCCCUUUCUUAGUUGCUAACAGGUCAUGCUGAGAACUCUAAGGAUACUGCCUCCGUAAGGAGGAGGAAGGUGGGGACGACGUCAAGUCAUCAUGGCCCUUACGCCUAGGGCUACACACGUGCUACAAUGGGGUGCACAAAGAGAAGCAAUACUGCGAAGUGGAGCCAAUCUUCAAAACACCUCUCAGUUCGGAUUGUAGGCUGCAACUCGCCUGCAUGAAGCUGGAAUCGCUAGUAAUCGCAAAUCAGCCAUGUUGCGGUGAAUACGUUCCCGGGUCUUGUACUCACCGCCCGUCACACCAUGGGAGUUGUGUUUGCCUUAAGUCAGGAUGCUAAAUUGGCUACUGCCCACGGCACACACAGCGACUGGGGUGAAGUCGUAACAAGGUAACCGUAGGUGAACCUGCGGUUGGAUCACCUCCUU
rnacentral:rRNA from 1 species